rnacentral:rRNA from 1 species
CCUACGGGUGGCAGCAGUGGGGGAUAUUGCACAAUGGGGGAAAGCCUGAUGCAGCGACGCCGCGUGAGUGAAGAAGGAUUUCGGUAUGUAAAGCUCUAUCAGCAGGGAAGAAAAUGACAGUGCCUGACCAAUAAGCCCCUGCUAACGACGUGCCAGCAGCCGCGGUAUUACGGAGUGGCAACGCGUUCGCCGGAUUUACUGGGUGUAAAGGGAGCGUAGACGGUUAUGUAAGUCUGGAGUGAAAGCCCUGGGCCCAACCCCGGGAGUUCAUUGGAAACUGGGUAACUGGAGUACAGGAGGGGAAGGCGGAAUUCCAGGUGUAGCGGUGAAAUGCGUAGAUAUCAGGAGGAACACCGGCGGCGAAGGCGGCCUGCUGGACUGAAACUGACGUUGAGGCUCGAAAGCGUGGGGAGCAAACAGGAUUAGAUACCCUGGUAGUC